rnacentral:lncRNA from 1 species
UGAAUACUAGGCUAAAUGCCCACUCCAAUCAUGUUCAUAUCUUAGAUUCCUUAUCAUAUUCUAAAACAGUAAACAUUCAUCCCUAUUUUCACUUGAGAAAACUGAAGCCUAGAAGAAACAUCAAGUGACUCUCAUUAAAUCACAUAGCCAGUUAGUUGAAACUACCUCGGCAGCAAGUCACUGAUAAAGCCGGCAUCACAAAUUGGCAUUGUACAAACUUCUGUGGGCUCACAAAUAAUUCUUGUUUGGCCUUUGCACAAUGUUAAAAAUGUUUUUAGAGUGGUUGCUAGCAUUUAAAAAUUGAAAGGGAUUUCACAUUUUAAUAAUCGGGAUUUUUUUUCUUUUCUUUCUUUAAUUCAAAAGCUUUGGCAAUCCUGGAUCACUGUUUCUGCAUGGCUUCCCCAUCGCAUAGGGAAAAUCUCCCCUUUGCCACAGACUCCACCAGGCCUGCCUUGUUGUUUGCUUCAUCCUAGGCUGUAUCUAUAAGAUCCCAAACAACUCUGGGUGAAAUUCAUCAUUCAGCAGGUAUGUGUGUAGACAUUUACUGUUGGGUAGACACAACCUCUAUGGACUGGGUGAAUUCCUAGGAGAAUGGAACAAUCACAUGAGGUGUCUACUUCAUUGUGACCAUGGCCUGAAAAAUGAAUGCCAAUUUCAAUUUUCCAAGUUUCCUUCCACUAAUAAAUAAUGUAAUAACUUAAUAAUAACA